UGAUUCCAGAUCAGUCACAUGAAAUUGUUAUUGAGUAUAUGAUAUUCAAAAUAAAUUUUCCUGCUAAAGUUUUUUGCAAUAUAAAUGAUGUCUGGACUAAUUGUAUUGUUGAUAAGCAUGUCUCCAGUUUUACAAUCAACAGAAGGAAUUGAUUGCUUGCAAUGCAUAGAUGUUAUAAUGGCUAAUCUCUAUGGUGACAGCAGAGGUUUCCAAUCAAUUGUUGAAGAAAUAAAUAUGGUAAAAACAUGUUUAAAUGAAACCAAUCAAACUAGUUCAACAUUCCUUCUCUGCCAAACAGAUCUAGGUUACCAGAGAGUACACAGAUGUGGGGAAUUCAACGGGACCAUUAUUUUGCAUCUACCAUCCUUUCACCGCAAUAUACUUACGGAGAUUACAGCAAAAGGAUGUUUUGAUGUUGACAAAAGCACAAAGACUGGAUGUUACGCAGAUCCGAUUAUGUUAAAUGAGCAGAAAGCAAACCUAGAAAACUUCUUUAUAAAAGAAAAAGAAAUAAGACAUCUGGAACUUCAAAUAGUCAAUGUCACUAAUGGUCAGUUUUGUAUAAAUCCGUUAUCUACUGCCGAUCGUAUUGAAAAGGCUACAAACAAAUCGAUUUUAGCUACCGAAGAUGGCAAAAAUAGGUCAGCAGUGUUAAAGUUUAAAUAUUGUUCAACAUUAGUUUUUGUGACUUUCAUCUUCGGUGUGUUAUGUGAACUUCAAUGGUACUAAAAUUGUUAACUAAGCCAGUAAGGUGAUGGUUAUAUAAUAAAACUGUGUAAAUCAUA